GGGCGCUUAGCUCAGUUGGUAGAGCAGCACGUUUACACCGUGCGGGUCGGCGGUUCGAGCCCGUCAGCGCCCACCA
rnacentral:tRNA from 2 species